ensembl:lncRNA
GAAAUGAUGACGUCACGCCCUCCGUCCUCUGGAUACUCGGCAGCCGCCAUUUUCAUUUGGAGUCCGUCCUGAUAUUAUUUUCAAGACGUAGAAAUAUGUCAAGACGUAAUCCCAUCCGCGCUGAUGAAGAUGACAGUGAUGGCGGGUGUUGGUCAGCUGUCUGCCUUACGAUCCGUACAGUUCUGUCAUUGGCCUGGAAGAAGCUCCGAGCCGUUUUCAACCAUCCAGAUGAUGGAGUGAAACUGUCAGUGGAGGAGACGGAACCAGCACGGACCCAGAGCUCAGUGCGACCGUUCUACUCCGACUACGAUGGACCAGAUUCUCCAGCGGUUGUUGGACAUCUGUCUGUCUGCAGAUUAACGCCGUGGAAGAGGAGCAGGAACCUGUUCACGCGUCAAGAUGAUGAUGUGAGAGCCGGAGGAGGAAACGUUCCAGGCUCCGUCCAGCCGUUCUCAACGAACUUCAGAACCUACGACGCGUUAGACACCGACCCGACUCAGUCUGACCUCACACUGUUUGAUUGUAAUAUACGUGUUACAAAUUAAAAAUGCAUAUUGUGGACAUCUAAUCGUCUAAUUAUUGCGUUCAUCAUCACAGUAAACUAUCAAUUCUUCUAUUCAGUAACAAACACAGUAACUAACACUCGUAUUAACUGCUUGCUUUUAAUAAUACACUAACCGAGCUGAAUAAUCACAAUUAAACCCACACACAACAGCUUGGGUCAUGCCUCUGUUCAAUUCUCAAUACUGUGAUGACAGAACAGAUCUACUCCACUGGACUUGGACUGUGUGAGUGCAAAUAAUUUACACACCCUGUGAAGUGGUCCUGGACUUCUGAAUCUCAGUAUUUCCGGCACGCGCUGACUCACUCACAGUGCACCUGGAUGAAACUAUGACUCAGUUACUUAAUGCCCCUCUUGUACCUCUCACACGGUGUACCUGCACUUUACAAACCUGCAUCAGUCACUUUCUAUUCAUGGAACUCAUUUAGCUGCCAGUACUGCUGCUGUACGUAUUGCUCCUACACUAUUCGAUAGUUUAUAGUUACAGCCCAUGUCCUGUUUAUUUACUGCCCUGUGUCACCAUGG